rnacentral:rRNA from 1 species
UAUGUGAUCGUCUCUCGCAUAUCAAUAAGCGGAGGAAAAGAAACUAACAAGGAUUCCCCUAGUAACGGCGAGUGAAGCGGGAAGAGCUCAAAUUUGAAAUCUUAAAGGGUUUCCCUUUACGAAUUGUAGUUUAAAGAAGUGUUUUCUGUUGAGGUUUUGGUAAAAGUUCUUUGGAAUAGGACAUCAUAGAGGGUGAGAAUCCCGUAUUUGACCUUUACUUUAACUUUGUGAUACACUUCAAAGAGUCGGAUUGUUUGGGAAUGCAGUCCAAAAUGGGUGGUAAAUUUCAUCUAAAGCUAAAUAUUGGCGAGAGACCGAUAGCGAACAAGUACCGUGAGGGAAAGAUGAAAAGAACUUUGAAAAGAGAGUUAAACAGUACGUGAAAUUGUCAAAAGGGAAGCGUUUGACACCAGUGUUGUUUUUCUGAAAAUCAAUUAAAGAACUGUUUAUGCUAAGUUGUUUAGACUUUAUCAGCUAACUGUUUAGUUUUGAGCUUUUCUUUAAUGCACUUUUCAGGUUAACAAGUCAACAUCAAUUUCUUUUGCUGUAAAGAAGCUUGAGGAAGGUGGCUUGAGAUUCGUCUUAAGUGUUUAUAGCCUCUUGCCUAUGCAGUCGGAGAGAUUGAGGUCUGCAGCGUAGAUCCUUCGGGGCUAAAUGCAUUUGUGCUAAGUUAUAGCAUUUUAUAGACAACUUGUUGACUAUGAUUUGUCUUGUAACUUACUCGCUUAUGUUAUUUUACCUACGCUUAGGAUGUUGACACACGCGCGUGCUCG